UACAGAGGGGGCAAGCGUUGUUCGGAAUUACUGGGCGUAAAGGGCGCGUAGGCGGCCUUCUAAGUCGAACGUGAAAUCCCCGGGCUCAACCCGGGAACUGCGUCCGAUACUGGGAGGCUUGAAUCCGGGAGAGGGAUGCGGAAUUCCAGGUGUAGCGGUGAAAUGCGUAGAUAUCUGGAGGAACACCGGUGGCGAAGGCGGCAUCCUGGACCGGUAUUGACGCUGAGGCGCGAAAGCUAGGGGAGCGAACGGG
rnacentral:rRNA from 1 species